ACUUGUUUUAUAACAUAAUUAGAAAUGGAUAAUAGAUUUCUGUAGACUCUCUCUUAUAAGGCAGAUGAAUGAACCAUUUAUUCCUACCUUCCAUAUCAUGAAUAGUGUGUGUCAAAGUAUUAUGUGUAUGUUUAGGUGAUGAGCAAUUCUAAUACAACCAAUAUUGAACUGGAAGAAAGAUUUGAAUUAAAUCACAACUCUUUGGGUUAAUUGUGAUCUAAAGAAUAUUGCUUACUUCUUUCAAGCUUGAGUUUCAACAACUCUUUGUUGAAAAUUAGGAAACCUUUAACACAUUAUCAGCUGGACUUGUACAGUUUACGCUAUCCCAUGGCACUGACAAGAUCUUUUCUAACUACUACAUAGUUGUGUGUUUCAGUUUUUUGAGGUGAGAUGUGGAACAUAGAGAAUGUCAGCUGUAGCAACAUUAGCUAAGAGCUUAUGCAAGGGGUAGGGAAGCUGUGACUCUCUGGACGGGUUGGACUUCACCUUUCAUGGUCCCUCAUCAUUACACAAGUUACAGCUGAUUAGAGUUGCAGUCCAGCAACAUCUGAAGGACCACAUCUUCCUCUAUCCUUUUAUAUACUGAAAUGGUUCAGCCUCCACUCCCAAAUAAUACUGUUCAUGUGAAUGGUCUUUUUUAAAACACAUCCUUGAAAAGAUGUAGUGACAUCACCAUGCAGCAGUGGAAUUUGAGGAGUUUAAUUUUGUAAUAGGAAUCAGGCCCGCCCAAACAGAGACCAAUUCUUACCACAGGGUGACUUCUUAUAAUUUUUGUUCAAUACUUGCAAAUGUAUCUAUUCAAUACUAGUUAAAUACUAGCACAGAAGACCUAUACAUCCCUGUUAUUAUCUAGAGGUUCAGUGCUUGCCCAUGGGUUUGACCUGCAAAACACUCUGCAUAUGAUGAUAGGACAAUUUAGAACAGUAUAUAAUAAAUCUAUUCACAAAAAGUGAAUUACACAAAGACUGCUGCCUUAAAGUUUUGCAAAGGUUUUAGUGUUGUUCUGUUGUCAGUAGAGUGAUAAUAAGAUUUGGAAAAGAGAAGAAAGAAACAGGAGUGGCACGCUAAAACACAGAUUGUUAGUUCAGCACCUCAUCUUGUUCUGAACAAGCAAAGUCCUAUAAGGUUAAACAUCUUGGUAUAUCACUAUUAAGAGUAAUACAGGCAAUUUCUGUGGUUCAACUGCAAACUUGCCAAUUUGAUCUGACUAUGUAAUAUUCUUGUGUAAUAUGAUACUGUUAGUUAACAUUACAAUUAUGUUACUAAAAGUAAAACAUGGAAGGACUUGUAGUGCCCACACACAAGUGUGUACCAGAAAAAAUAACUUUUGGGUACAUUCUAUGUUAAUAUGGGAUUUCUCACUGGGACAAUUAUGUAGCUUUGUGGCAUUGUUAUUUAUUGCUUGCCCCUCCUCCUGGCUGUUCAUGACCUCUUUACUGAUAGCAAGUAAGAGAAACAUAGUCUGUAUCAUAUAUGAUGUCAAUAGAAGAAGAAAAAGAUCUGUCACAUUUUAAUAUAUAGGUUCAAAACUUGAUGAUGUAUGUGACUGAACAUCCUUUUGUUUGAGUUUAAACAAUAAAUAACAAUAUUUCA